GCUGAAGUAGCUCAGCUGGGAGAGCGUUAGACUGAAGAUCUAAAGGUCCCUGGUUUGACCCCGGGCUUCAGCA
rnacentral:tRNA from 1 species